AGAGCAGGGUAGCUGCAAGACCUCAGGCUUCCUGUGAUGUAAGAUCUUCUCAUGUGAUACCCCCUGCUCCAAAUCUUCCGUAGAAAUGUUUAUGUUUCAAGAUAUUACUUCCUCGAUUAAGUACACCACAUCUGGAGGUCGAUUCGCAGCAAAAAGAUGCUUUUUUUCCUUAUAAAACGCACCAAUUCUGCUAUGCUCCAAAUCUGCGUUAGAAAUGUUUAUUUGUAAAUGUUUUACUUGAUUAAAUGCACCUCAUCUGGAGGUCGAUUCGCAGGAAAAAGAUGCUUGUUUUUUUUCUAAAAACGCACCAAUUCUGCUCUCUUGGAAAAAAAUACCAAAUUUUGGGGUUACCAUUUUAAUCUGAUACACUCUACUUCUAUGUCAGAAUGUGCCAAGAUUUCCGGUACCUGUUCAGAACUAUGUUGCAAUGUAUACGUUGGCUGGUGACACCAAUCGUCGUGGAGAUGUGAGGCACACUUGGGUUCCUAGUGUGCCUGAUGCAAUUCGUCUGAAUCUGAAUGUUGAUUGGUUAUCCUUUAGACCAACUCAACGGCAGUUCUUCAACCUGUUUAGGCAAGUCCAUGAUCGUUAUUUGAG
rnacentral:lncRNA from 1 species